UGGAAUGCCAUAUUUAAGACAUUUAUAAUUCCAGCUUAAGCGAAUAUUGCUACAGCGCACAGGUAUUUGAAGUUGCAAGGAAUAUCUGAUGGGUAUGUAAAGAGGCUAAAACAGGGAGAAGAAGCAAUAAAUCUGGAGCACAUCCAUUAUUACUUAACCAAGGAAAGUUGGACAGCUCUGAAAAAACUUGCAUCAAAAGCUUAAAAAAAAAAAAAAGAUUUCCUUUGGGAUGCAAUUAUUGGCAAUUGAGAAAACUUUCACAUCAGACUCCAAGUUGAAGAAAGUCAUUUAAGUAAGCUUAAGCAAUGUAAGUACUCAUUUUCACUAAAUAUUUUAAAAAUUAGUUAUUUCGAUAAAAAGGC
rnacentral:lncRNA from 12 species